GGCGGGGUGGGGGGAGCUCGAUGCCACUCGGUCCUCGAAAUAGCAACAAUCACCAUGUGAUCUGGCAGAUGACGCAGCGCUUGUAACCGGAGCCUAAAGACUUUGUGGGGUGUGUGUGUGUGUGUGUGUGUGUGUGUGUGUGUGUGUGUGCGAGAGGGUGAGAGGGUUCAUGAACACCGCGCCGCCUUCACCCGGCAGCCGCCUUAAUUCACCUUGCUUUUCACCGUCCGCUUCUCUUCUGCUCUGGAUCAGGACUAUAAGGAAUGCAGGUGGAAAUCUAGGUGCUGAGAGUGAGCGUGACCACGGACACACAACCAGCAAGGAAAUGGGGACCUCAGUCUUACCGUGGCAGAAAACAGUCCUGUCCCAGCCAUGACAGCUUGGAAGAUGACCCUGAGGCCCAGAGGAGAGUGUAGGCUAGUUGGCAUGUUGGCCUCAGCCUUACGAGACCUCGAGCAGGGAAUCCAGCCAAGCCGCGCCCAGACUUCUCACCUCCAGAACAGUAAGAUAAGAGGUCCCAGGCAUGCUGCUGGACGACUGGGGACACACAGAGACAAGUAGGACACAGUGUGCACCCUCCAGAAACGGACGAGCGUGUGGGAGCAGCCGAGGGAUGGACACACAUACGUAAAUGACUAUUGCAAAGCUGUAGUGAAAAAUGAGGUUAUCCCAGUGCAAAGGAAGGGGCGGGGGAAACACUGGAUCCUUGAGUGUGUGUGAAUGUGAGUGUGAGAGAGAGACAGACAGAGACGUAGUGCCCCCCAGAGAGCAAGAAUCACCACAUCACCGAUUGAUACGUGCCCACUUUGUUGAAACUGAAGGACUAACUUGGUAAACAAAUGAACGAGGUAGUUGAAUUUCCGGUGUGGGAGACAGAAGGCCACACGCUUCCGGGAAAGUCUACGUGGAGAGACGAGGGCCGUGUGGAGGCCCCUCCAAGGACUGUGAAUUUUACCUUAGGAGGCACUGAGGAUUUAAUAAAAUGCCAUAACCAGGGAAAUUGUACGGUAAGUGACAUAUGGAAAGUUCCAAAGUGAUAUUUGAAAACAACCAACUAUAUCUGUAGCACCCAUAAAGUGAUACUAUAGUGUCCCGCGGGAUUUUAUGUUCGUUCAAUUCUGCAAAGACUGCUUUUUCCUUGUGAGUGUGCAAAUCCAUUCACCAGGAAAAUUGGGUUAAGAUAAUCAGAUUACAGAAAUACCGUUCCCGGACAGAGCCACCCUUGUGGUUCUGAACAUGUGUGUUUGUUUAACAGCUCACGCCAUACAUUCGAGCUAUCGUUCUAUUUGUGGGAGAACUGAGUCCAUUUAUCUUUUAGAAAAAUUAAAUCAUGUUCCCAAUAAAGACAAAAUUAAUAAGUAGCUAAUAUACAGGGUAGUAGGAAAUGCUUAUUAGCUUGUAGCAUGCGAGAGGGCAGUUUUUCAGUUGCUACUACUCAGGGGGCUGUGUGUGUAGGAAAGUAGGAAAAAGGGGGGGGCUAUCAGCAUGAGCAAGGAGAAAACAUUUUAUCGAUGCGUCAUCUUUAACAGUAAAAAUUGAUGCUAUACUCAGAAAAUGAAGAGUAGUAUGUUUGGGGCACCUGGGCAGCUCGGUGCGUUGAGUGUCCUACUUUGGCUCAGGUUAUGAUCUCAUAGUUCACGGGUUCGAGCCCCACGUCAGGCUCUUG